rnacentral:tRNA from 2 species
GUGCCCGUAGCCCAGCUGGAUAGAGCGACAGACUCCGACUCUGUAGGCCGCACGUUCGAAUCGUGUCGGGCACGCCA